UCUUAUAUAUAGUGCAUUGUGGUAUGUUUCGAGGUUCGCGUAUAGGCGGGUCUACUGACUCUCGGCGCGUGGGCAUCAGUUGAAUCAAUGAAGUCUGACAAGGUGACGCACAAUACUGUGUACACACGAUUAGAUGACCAUUUCGAUUAAUUAGUCGAGAUAAAGACGAAUCAAUGACAUCGGUAGAUGAAUUUGUAAAUUCAUCAGCAUGGCUUAUCAAGGUACCGACUGUGCCGUUUUUAUUUGUGAACGUUUAUGAUAACGCGCCCGGAUACAAAACGAAAUAUGAUUAUUAAAAUUUGACAAUACUAUGUAAAAGCUUCA